rnacentral:rRNA from 1 species
UGGGGAAUUUUGGACAAUGGGCGAAAGCCUGAUCCAGCAAUGCCGCGUGUGUGAAGAAGGCCUUCGGGUUGUAAAGCACUUUUGUCCGGAAAGAAAUCCUCUGGGUUAAUACCUCGGGGGGAUGACGGUACCGGAAGAAUAAGCACCGGCUAACUACGUGCCAGCAGCCGCGGUAAUACGUAGGGUGCAAGCGUUAAUCGGAAUUACUGGGCGUAAAGCGUGCGCAGGCGGUUUUGUAAGACGGAUGUGAAAUCCCCGGGCUUAACCUGGGAACUGCAUUCGUGACUGCAAGGCUAGAGUAUGGCAGAGGGGGGUAGAAUUCCACGUGUAGCAGUGAAAUGCGUAGAGAUGUGGAGGAAUACCGAUGGCGAAGGCAGCCCCCUGGGCCAAUACUGACGCUCAUGCACGAAAGCGUGGGGAGCAAACAGGAUUAGAUACCCUGGUAGUCCACGCCCUAAACGAUGUCAACUAGUUGUUGGGGAUUCAUUUCCUUAGUAACGUAGCUAACGCGUGAAGUUGACCGCCUGGGGAGUACGGUCGCAAGAUUAAAACUCAAAGGAAUUGACGGGG